rnacentral:rRNA from 1 species
CGUGAUUUGGGCUAUAUUACGGACACAAAAUUACUUGUUCAAUCAUUGUUUUAGAAUUUUUUCAUGCUUCAAAGCUCGUUAAGACUAGAUGGGGUAUCCUACAUAGCGGGUGCGACCCACGACGAAUGGUUCAUCAAGUCUUCAAAAAAGAAUAUAUACGAUUGCAUUGCAUAUACUAACGUAUGCGAUCAUACCAGCACUAAUACAACGAGAUCCCAUCAGAACUCCGCAGUUAAGCGUGCUUGGGCGAAUAUUGUAACUAGGAUGGGUGACCUCCCGGGAAGUCCUCGUGUUGCAUCCCUCUUUUUUUUUAAUUUGUUUUUUUUGGUUAAAACUUUAUGACUCUAUAACUUUUAUACCGUGAGGCCAAACUAGGCAUGUGAUACCUUUUCGGAAAUCCCAAAGAGAACCCUCCGACGAAAGAAACAGGACAAACGAACUUUUCCUUUGACUUUUUGCCGACCACAAAUUUUGACCUUUAUGUACUUUUUCGGGAAUCG